UAGAAAGGUAGGACUUGAACCUACAAGGAAGGGAUCAAAA
rnacentral:tRNA from 2 species